UGGUCUUGACAUCCCGGGAAUCUUGUGGAAACACGAGAGUGCCUCGCAAGAGGAGCCUGGAGACAGGUGCUGCAUUGGCUGUCGUCAGCCCGUGUCGUGAGAUGUUGGGUUAAGUCCCGCAACGAGUCGCAACCCCUAUCUUUAGUUGCCAUCAUUGAGUUGGGCACUCUAAAGAGACUGCCGGUGUCAAACCGGAGGAGGUGGGAUGACGUCAAGUCCUCAUGGCCCUUACGGGCUGGGCUACACACGUACUACAAUGGUGGUGACAGUGGGAUGCGAAAGCGCGAGCUGGAGCGAAUCCCCAAAAGCCAUCUCAGUUCGGAUUGCACUCUGCAACUCGAGUGCAUGAAGUUGGAAUCGCUAGUAAUCGUGGAUCAGAAUGCCACGGUGAAUACGUUCCCGGGCCUU
rnacentral:rRNA from 1 species